UGGGGAAUUUUGCGCAAUGGGCGAAAGCCUGACGCAGCGACGCCGCGUGGAGGAUGAAGGUCUUCGGAUUGUAAACUCCUUUUGUAGGGGACAAUAAUGAUGGUACCCUACGAAUAAGCCACGGCUAACUCUGUGCCAGCAGCCGCGGUAAGACAGAGGUGGCAAGCGUUGUUCGGAAUUACUGGGCUUAAAGGGCGCGUAGGUGGUGGCAUAAGUCCGGGGUGGAAGACUAAGGCUUAACCUUAGAAUUGCCCUGGAAACUGUAUCACUUGAGUCAGCGAGGGGAUGGCGGAAUUCCAGGUGUAGCGGUGAAAUGCGUAGAUAUCUGGAGGAAGGCCGGUGGCGAAGGCGGCCAUCUGGCGCUGAACUGACACUGAGGCGCGAAAGCGUGGGGAGCAAACAGG
rnacentral:rRNA from 1 species